GACGAACGCUGGCGGCGUGCCUAAUACAUGCAAGUCGAGCGGACUUUCAAGAAGCUUGCUUUUUGAAAGUUAGCGGCGGACGGGUGAGUAACACGUGGGCAACCUGCCUGCAAGACGGGGAUAACUCCGGGAAACCGGGGCUAAUACCGGAUAAUAUCUUCCUUCGCAUGAAGGAAGGUUGAAAGGCGGCGCAAGCUGCCGCUUGCAGAUGGGCCCGCGGCGCAUUAGCUAGUUGGUGAGGUAACGGCUCACCAAGGCGACGAUGCGUAGCCGACCUGAGAGGGUGAUCGGCCACACUGGGACUGAGACACGGCCCAGACUCCUACGGGAGGCAGCAGUAGGGAAUCGUCCGCAAUGGACGAAAGUCUGACGGAGCAACGCCGCGUGAGCGAAGAAGGUCUUCGGAUCGUAAAGCUCUGUUGUCAGGGAAGAACAAGUACCGUUCGAACAGGGCGGUACCUUGACGGUACCUGACCAGAAAGCCACGGCUAACUACGUG
rnacentral:rRNA from 1 species